UACGGAGGGUGCAAGCGUUGUCCGGAUUCAUUGGGUUUAAAGGGUGCGUAGGCGGAUUGGUAAGUCAGUGGUGAAAGGCAGCGGCUCAACCGUUGAGUUGCCAUUGAUACUGUCAGUCUUGAGUGCACUAGAGGUAAGUGGAAUUUAUGGUGUAGCGGUGAAAUGCAUAGAUACCAUAAAGAACACCAAUAGCGAAGGCAGCUUACUAGAGUGUAACUGACGCUGAGGCACGAAAGCGUGGGGAGCGAACAGG
rnacentral:rRNA from 1 species